rnacentral:rRNA from 1 species
AACGAACGCUGGCGGCAUGCCUAACACAUGCAAGUCGAACGAGACCUUCGGGUCUAGUGGCGCACGGGUGCGUAACGCGUGGGAACCUGCCCUUAGGUUCGGAAUAACUCCCCGAAAGGGGUGCUAAUACCGGAUAAUGUCUUCGGACCAAAGAUUUAUCGCCCUUGGAUGGGCCCGCGUUGGAUUAGCUAGUUGGUAGGGUAAAAGACUACCAAGGCGACGAUCCAUAGCUGGUCUGAGAGGAUGAUCAGCCACACUGGGACUGAGACACGGCCCAGACUCCUACGGGAGGCAGCAGUGGGGAAUAGUGGACAAUGGGCGAAAGCCUGAUCCAGCAAUGCCGCGUGAGUGAUGAAGGCCUUAGGGUUGUAAAGCUCUUUUACCCGGGAUGAUAAUGACAGUACCGGGAGAAUAAGCUCCGGCUAACUCCGUG